rnacentral:rRNA from 1 species
CCUACGGGAGGCUGCAGUGGGGAAUAUUGGACAAUGGGGGCAACCCUGAUCCAGCCAUGCCGCGUGUGUGAAGAAGGCCCUCGGGUUGUAAAGCACUUUCAGUGAGGAAGAACGCCUGGUGGUUAAUACCCAUCAGGAAAGACAUCACUCACAGAAGAAGCACCGGCUAACUCCGUGCCAGCAGCCGCGGUAAUACGGAGGGUGCGAGCGUUAAUCGGAAUUACUGGGCGUAAAGCGCGCGUAGGUGGCUUGAUAAGCCGGUUGUGAAAGCCCCGGGCUCAACCUGGGAACGGCAGCCGGAACUGUCAAGCUAGAGUGCAGGAGAGGAAGGUAGAAUUCCCGGUGUAGCGGUGAAAUGCGUAGAGAUCGGGAGGAAUACCAGUGGCGAAGGCGGCCUUCUGGACUGACACUGACACUGAGGUGCGAAAGCGUGGGUAGCAAACAGGAUUAGAUACCCUGGUAGUC